AAACUGACACCCUGGGAAUCCACCUUUGGAGCACCUCUGAACGGCUCGGCUGAUUGCAUGAUUGGAUGGAGCCUGGAUUCACGGCAGUUUUCCUUGGUUCAGAGAUUGCCUGCUGUGCCCUGUGCAUGUGGAACUGACCCUGGAGCGAGAUUACAGCAAGCAAUUGUUUUGCAGGUGAAAGACUUAACCAGGUGAUGGUGAAACAGGAGCUAAAAGGCAUUAAAAAAUACCACUCACCACUCAUCUCAUGACAGAUAUGGAGAGUUCUUUGCAGGUCUGGAUUACCAAUGGAGGAAUUCAAUGUUCUUACGCAAGUGUGAUAGAUGUCCUUCACAUCGCAAGGACUCAAACAUGUCAAGGAGGAAACUAUCUGGCUGGGAAUGUAUCGCAAAAGCUUGAGGCAAAAUGUGGUUGCAGACAGCCAGACUGAUCAUUAUACGGUUCUAAUUAACAUUCCAAUAUUAAUUGGAAUGAAAAAUGUGGAGCAAAGAGUGAGGGUUAAGCAUUGCUGAAAAAAAAUUGUGAUUUGAAAUAACCACUAGUAGAGAGUAAUGAUUAAACUGUAGCAUAGCUAUUGGCACAUAGAGGGAUUUGUUUGUUAUUUGGCACUUAUUCAUUUUUAUAUUCACUUGCAUGUGAAUAGCUCUCUUGAGAUUGAAGUUGUAUAAGUGUGUGUCUAUACAUGUAUUUACAGUAUUAUAUUUAAUGUUUGGAGAUAGAAAAUAAAUAACACAAAUUAUUGAUAUGCUUUAUUUUCUUGUUUGUGAUAAAGAGAAGCUACAUAUAAUGUGAUCUGGAAGCAGCAAAUGGCAUCUUUAGAAAGUAGAAUCUUUAUACUAUUCCUGUUUGUAGUU